UUGCGGCCAACUGGGGAAGAUGGUCCAUCUUUAGCAUGUAGCAGAACCUUUGUAGGAGAAAUCUACCCUGUUCGGUUCCAUCGUAGCACAGAUCUAUUAUAGAUCACCGAAGUUUCCGACCUUCUUUCCGAAGAUGUCCGAAGACGGCCGAAUUUAAAAUUCGCUUCACUGACGCAUCAGCACGCACACAAAUUUCAUCCACUCGGCUAAAAGUGUCGAUUUAAGACGCGGCCGCGGACCGAUGUUUAUAAUAAAAAAUUAUUGAAUAAAUGUCGAAUUUCAUAUUAAA